rnacentral:rRNA from 1 species
GUGCCAGCAGCCGCGGUAAAACCAGCACCUCAAGUGGUCAGGAUGAUUAUUGGGCCUAAAGCAUCCGUAACCGGCUCUGUAAGUUUUCGGUUAAAUCUGUACGCUCAACGUACAGGCUGCCGGGAAUACUGCAGAACUAGGGGAGUGGGAGAGGUAGACGGUACUCGGUAGGAAGUGGUAAAAUGCUUUGAUCUAUCGAUGACCACCUGUGGCGAAGGCGGUCUACUAGAACACGUCCGACGGUGAGGGAUGAAAGCUGGGGGAGCAAACCGGAUUAGAUACCCGGGUAGUCCCAGCUGUAAACUAUACAAACUCAGUGAUGCAUUGGCUUGUGGCCAAUGCAGUGCUGCAGGGAAGCCGUUAAGUUUGCCGCCUGGGGAAGUACGUACGCAAGUAUGAAACUCAAGGGAAUUGACGG